UUAGUUUCUUCAUUCUACUGCAGUGGAAGAACAUUGCUCAUCUGCUGUCUGUCUGGCUUUAACAACUCCAAAGACAUGUUGCUUUACCUCUUUUUACUUUGCUCUCACUUCAUAGGUGAGUGUUGGAACACAGAUGAAAGGCUCAUUAACCUGCUGGAUUAACCAGAUAUUUGGUCUACAUUUCAGAACUAGAGGUUUCUCUGUGGAAGGGAACAACUUCCAUGAUAGAAACAGACAUUUGGUUUAUUGAAUGAAUCCAGAAAGUCAAGAACCUCCGUUGAGUCUCUUGAUGUUAGAAUCUCUUGCAGACUAACUGACAUGAAUGACUCAUUUUGCAGCCCUGGGUUCCAUGAACAGCAUAAUGCCAGAAAGUCCUGAAGAACAUGUUGCAGAGGGAGGAAACAUCAACCUGACCUGUAAAUAUGAGGGUGCUAUCUACAGUAUCCAGUGGUACCGACAAUACCAGAGAUCCAGACCAGAGUUCCUGCUCUACAUCACAGAGAGUGGAUCGAUUCAUUCAGCUGGUUCUGUUUUCUCAGCUCACAUUAAUAAAGAAGAGAAACGUGUGAAUCUGGAGAUCAUCUCAGCUAAAGUGACAGACUCUGCUGUGUACUACUGUGCUCUGCAGCCCCUGCAGAUCUCCUCUGCUGCAGUGACAGACUCUGCUGUGUACUACUGUGUAUAA